CAGUAGCCGCGGUAAUACGUAGGUGGCAAGCGUUGUUCGGAAUUAUUGGGCGUAAAGCGCGCGCAGGCGGAUAGGUCAGUCUGUCUUAAAAGUUCGGGGCUUAACCCCGUGAUGGGAUGGAAACUGCCAAUCUAGAGUAUCGGAGAGGAAAGUGGAAUUCCUAGUGUAGCGGUGAAAUGCGUAGAUAUUAGGAAGAACACCAGUGGCGAAGGCGACUUUCUGGACGAAAACUGACGCUGAGGCGCGAAAGCCAGGGGAGCAAGCAGGAUUAGAUACCCCAGUAGUCCCUGUCUCUUAUACC
rnacentral:rRNA from 1 species